rnacentral:rRNA from 1 species
CCUAGGGGAGGCAGCAGUGGGGAAUAUUGCACAAUGGGCGCAAGCCUGAUGCAGCCAUGCCGCGUGUGUGAAGAAGGCCUUCGGGUUGUAAAGCACUUUCAGCGGGGAGGAAGGCGGUGAGGUUAAUAACCUUGUCGAUUGACGUUACCCGCAGAAGAAGCACCGGCUAACUCCGUGCCAGCAGCCGCGGUAA